CCACGGAGGGCGCGAGCGUUGUUGGGAAUCACUGGGCGUAAAGCGCGCGUAGGCGGUUUCGUAAGUCAUUUGUGAAAGCCCGAGGCUCAACUUCGGGAUGCCAGGUGAGACUGCGAGACUAGAGCAUGGUAGAGGCAAGUGGAAUUCCCGGUGUAGCGGUGGAAUGCGUAGAUAUCGGGAAGAACACCGGUGGCGAAGGCGACUUGCUGGGCCAUUGCUGACGCUGAGGUGCGAAAGCGUGGGGAGCAAACAGGAUUAGAAACCCCAGUAGUCC
rnacentral:rRNA from 1 species